rnacentral:rRNA from 1 species
UGGUGGAGCGAUUUGUCUGGUCAAUUCCGAUAACUAACGAGACUCUAGCCUACUAAAUAGUUCGGGGACCCCCACAAAGGGGCCCCGCUUCAACUUCUUAGAGGGACAGGUGGCGUUUAGCCACACGAGAUUGAGCAAUAACA